AGCAGCAUGGCGCAGUUGGAAGCGCGCGGGGCCCAUAUCAUUUGAAACCCCGAGGUCACUCGAUCGAAACGAGUUGCUGCUA